rnacentral:rRNA from 4 species
CAUAGGUUAAUGAGGCGAACCGGGGGAACUGAAACAUCUAAGUACCCCGAGGAAAAGAAAUCAACCGAGAUUCCCCCAGUAGCGGCGAGCGAACGGGGAGGAGCCCAGAGCCUGAAUCAGUGUGUGUGUUAGUGGAAGCGUCUGGAAAGGCGCGCGAUACAGGGUGACAGCCCCGUACACAAAAAUGCACAUAUUGUGAGCUCGAUGAGUAGGGCGGGACACGUGGUAUCCUGUCUGAAUAUGGGGGGACCAUCCUCCAAGGCUAAAUACUCCUGACUGACCGAUAGUGAACCAGUACCGUGAGGGAAAGGCGAAAAGAACCCCGGCGAGGGGAGUGAAAAAGAACCUGAAACCGUGUACGUACAAGCAGUGGGAGCCUCUUAAUGGGGUGACUGCGUACCUUUUGUAUAAUGGGUCAGCGACUUAUAUUCUGUAGCAAGGUUAACCGAAUAGGGGAGCCGAAGGGAAACCGAGUCUUAACUGGGCGUUAAGUUGCAGGGUAUAGACCCGAAACCCGGUGAUCUAGCCAUGGGCAGGUUGAAGGUUGGGUAACACUAACUGGAGGACCGAACCGACUAAUGUUGAAAAAUUAGCGGAUGACUUGUGGCUGGGGGUGAAAGGCCAAUCAAACCGGGAGAUAGCUGGUUCUCCCCGAAAGCUAUUUAGGUAGCGCCUCGUGAAUUCAUCUCCGGGGGUAGAGCACUGUUUCGGCAAGGGGGUCAUCCCGACUUACCAACCCGAUGCAAACUGCGAAUACCGGAGAAUGUUAUCACGGGAGACACACGGCGGGUGCUAACGUCCGUCGUGAAGAGGGAAACAACCCAGACCGCCAGCUAAGGUCCCAAAGUCAUGGUUAAGUGGGAAACGAUGUGGGAAGGCCCAGACAGCCAGGAUGUUGGCUUAGAAGCAGCCAUCAUUUAAAGAAAGCGUAAUAGCUCACUGGUCGAGUCGGCCUGCGCGGAAGAUGUAACGGGGCUAAACCAUGCACCGAAGCUGCGGCAGCGACACUAUGUGUUGUUGGGUAGGGGAGCG